rnacentral:sRNA from 1 species
CAUCAAGUGUGUGUGCGGGAACAACAUUGCCGUUGUUUCUGAUGCCGAGGGCUUGGAAAUGGGAUACGGUUUAUGGUACGAGUAUACGGAGGCGGGGGAACGGGAUAUGUCUUUUUUUUCAAAUGCCAGCCACAAGAGCUGGAGUGUUAAAGGGGCGAAGGGAUCAACAGGAGGAUCAGGAACAGUGCUGGAUACGGUAUUCCCUCACAGGCGUUCCUCACAACUGGGAAACUCACAACUGGGAAACUCACAACAAUAACUGUAGCGUAAAGAAGUCUUGAACUUUUAUAUACACUGGAUUGGCAAGCAGACGGAUCAGAAUCAGUAAUGGAAUAGAAUGGAACGCCUUGGGAAGGGUUUCUCUCGGGAGAAACCGGUACUCGGUACUCGGUACUAGAAAGUCAAGCCGAAUCAGGAUCAGAUCAUAUACAUAUAUACUUUUCAGUUCAAAGAAGUUGGAUAAGGAGAAGAAUAGCAGUUGGAAUGGAAUGGUAAAGGCGUCUAGGCAUAAACCCUCAGACUCAGACAAGAUACACUUUUCGCUGGCGAAGUGUGAUGUAAGUACAGUAGAAUCCGGUUAUAACGACUCUGCUUAUUCGAUGACUUGGUUGGCCCCCAUGCAAACUUAUAUGAAAGAGCCUCCGCUUAAUAUAUGUAUAUGCAUAUAUCAGUGAUCGGCAACGAUUUCAAAGGAAGAACUGGCUGAAUAUGUUCUUAUUGACAAUGCUGUGGCGUUUUGUGAGGACCCUUCCGAAAACAACAUUGUUAAAAAUAUAUUAGAUAACGGACAGGACAGCGACGGCAACGUCGAAGAUCAAAAUGAAGCGUUUUGGAGGCAUUUAAGACUGCAGAAAUUCGGAAUCCAUAGCAUAGCAUGACUAGUUUAAAUAAUGCCGUGCGCUACUGUUUUUAUAUAUCAGAAACUACUGCUAAA